GGUGGUGAUGUGUGUCUGUGUUGUGAGUGGAGUUGAAAAUAGUGGUGAAGUGGGGGUGAGGGUUGUGGGAAAUGGGAAGAGUAGUGGGGGUUAAUGUGUAGGUAUAUAUAAAUAUAAAAUAUAAUAAUUAAAAAUAUUAACUAAUUAUUUUAAAUUAAUAUACAUAUAAGAAAAGUUAAAUAGCUAAUUAAAAAAUAUAAUUAAGAAACACUAGUUUAUUUAU
rnacentral:lncRNA from 1 species